rnacentral:rRNA from 1 species
AUUGAACGCUGGCGGCAGGCCUAACACAUGCAAGUCGAACGAGUGGCGGACGGGUGAGUAAUGUCUGGGAAACUGCCCGAUGGAGGGGGAUAACUACUGGAACCGGUCGCUAAUACCGUCUACUAUCGGAUGUGCCCAGAUGGGAUUCGCUUGGAGGUGGGGUAACGGCUCACCUAGGCGACGACCCCUAGCUGGUCUGAGAGGAUGACCGGCCACACUGGAGCUGAGACACGGUCCAGGCUCCUACGGGAGGCAGCAGGGGGGAAGAUUGCACAAUGGGCGCAAGCCUGAUGCAGCCAUGCCGCGUGUAUGAAGAAGGCCUUCGGGUUGUAAAGUACUUUCAGCGGGGAGGCGUUACUCGCAGAAGAGGCACCGGCUAACUCCGUGCCAGCAGCCGCGGUAAUUC